rnacentral:rRNA from 1 species
UAGGGAAUCUUCGGCAAUGGACGAAAGUCUGACCGAGCAACGCCGCGCGAGUGAAGAAGGUUUUCGGAUCGUAAAACUCUGUUGUUAGAGAAGAACAAGGACGUUAGUAACUGAACGUCCCCUGACGGUAUCUAACCAGAAAGCCACGGCUAACUACGUGCCAGCAGCCGCGGUAAUACGUAGGUGGCAAGCGUUGUCCGGAUUUAUUGGGCGUAAAGCGAGCGCAGGCGGUUUCUUAAGUCUGAUGUGAAAGCCCCCGGCUCAACCGGGGAGGGUCAUUGGAAACUGGGAGACUUGAGUGCAGAAGAGGAGAGUGGAAUUCCAUGUGUAGCGGUGAAAUGCGUAGAUAUAUGGAGGAAAACCAGUGGCGAAGGCGGCUCUCUGGUCUGUAACUGACGCUGAGGAUCGAAAGCGUGGGGAGCAAACAGG